rnacentral:rRNA from 1 species
UACUCGAGUGGCGAACGGGUGAGUAACACGUGGGUGAUCUGCCCUGCACUUCGGGAUAAGCCUGGGAAACUGGGUCUAAUACCGGAUAGGAGCCAUUUUUAGUGUGAUGGUUGGAAAGUUUUUUCGGUGUAGGAUGAGCUCGCGGCCUAUCAGCUUGUUGGUGGGGUAAUUGCCUACCAAGGCGGCGACGGGUAGCCGGCCUGAGAGGGUGGACGGCCACAUUGGGACUGAGAUACGGCCCAG